GCUUCCACAGCAUAACGGUUAGAGUGUUCGCCUGCUGAGCCAAAGGGUUGCUGGUUCAAUUCCAGCCGGGGACU
rnacentral:tRNA from 1 species